rnacentral:rRNA from 1 species
UACGGGGGGGGCAAGCGUUGUUCGGAAUUACUGGGCGUAAAGGGCGCGUAGGCGGCCUGCUAAGUCGGACGUGAAAUCCCUCGGCUCAACCGGGGAACUGCGUCCGAUACUGGUGGGCUCGAAUCCGGGAGAGGGAUGUGGAAUUCCAGGUGUAGCGGUGAAAUGCGUAGAUAUCCGGAGGAACACCGGUGGCGAAGGCGGCUUCCUGGACCGAUUACUGACGCUGAGGCGCGAAAGCUAGGGGAGCAAACGGG